rnacentral:lncRNA from 1 species
GGAGUAAGGAAGUUACAUACAAGGUUGUGAUAUAAGAGAGUAAAAAAGAGAUGGGAAAAUAACUAAAACAUGAGAUGUGGGGAAUGGAAUCCCAAAGUAGAAGCAGUAGAGUUGCACAUUUGUGUUGGCAGAUGGGAACCAUGUUUUUUAUUCAUAUUAUUGUCAUUCUUGGUUAAGCUAUUGCAGUGUUUGGGCCAUAAUCACUCCUUCCAUUGAUUACUAGUUUGAGCUAUUGUGAAAUUGUG